rnacentral:rRNA from 1 species
UAUCAGUCAUGCAUAGCAUAUCAAUAAGCGGAGGAAAAGAAACUAACAAGGAUUCCCUUAGUAACGGCGAGUGAAGCGGGAAGAGCUCAAAUUUGAAAUCUCAAGGUUUUACCUUGACGAAUUGUAGUUUAAAGAAGUGUUUUCUGUUGAAGUUUUGGUAAAAGUUCUUUGGAAUAGGACAUCAUAGAGGGUGAGAAUCCCGUAUUUGACCAUUACUUUCAGCUUUGUGAUACACUUUCAAAGAGUCGGAUUGUUUGGGAAUGCAGUCCAAAAUGGGUGGUAAAUUUCAUCUAAAGCUAAAUAUUGGCGAGAGACCGAUAGCGAACAAGUACCGUGAGGGAAAGAUGAAAAGAACUUUGAAAAGAGAGUUAAACAGUACGUGAAAUUGUCAAAAGGGAAGCGUUUGACACCAGUGUUGUUUUCUCGAAAAUCAAUUAAAAAGAGUUGGAUUUUGUGUUGUAUUGACUUUAUCAGCUUUCUUCACUCUUUUCCAGCUUUUUUUAAUGCACUUUUCGUUUAACAAGUCAACAUCAGUUUCUUUUGCUUGUAAAAAGGUCAUUGGAAGGUGGCUUUCUCUUCGGAGAAAGUGUUUAUAGCCUUUGACUCAUGCAAUCGGAGAGACUGAGGUCUGCAGCGUAGAUCCUUCGGGGUUAGAUACAUUUGUGCUAAGUUAUAGCUUUUCAUAGACAACUUGUUGACUAUGUUUAGUCUUGUAGCUUACUCGCUUAUGCUAUUUUACCUACGCUUAGGAUGUUGAACUCUAUCACACACAG